ACAGCACAGCAGGAGUCGAGAAAGCUUUUAGCACAAGGUGAGUGUGCCUGUCUCCGUUUAGUGCGUCCAGUCAUCCACUGGUGCAUCUGAAGUUUCUGUGGGGAAAGAAGGCAAAGAAUAUGCCAACCAAUGCUGACUCUUUACACCUGGAGCGUGGGCUCCCCGUCUCUGUCCAUUCCAUUGAGACACUGGAUUGUCAGGAAGCGCAUGAAGAUGCAGAGCCUAGCAGUUUGGAACCUAAGUGAACGGGAGCCUGAUCACCCUGCUCCUUGCCUCUUUUUCCCCCGCACUCACUCUGACAUCACUGAUCUUACUGCUUUGAAGACAGGGAAGAGAAGAGCAGAGAACACCUCCCACCCAUCCUGUACAAAUACUCAUUUCAAUCUUCCCAUUAAAUGCCCCAAACAUCUCUAUCCUAUGCAAGACGGAGUUCAGGGGAGAGGGUGUUUAGGACUGAGCACAGUACCACAAGCUUCCCAUCUCUAACCUCUCCUUUCUGAAAACAUUUCUGACAACCACAAAUGGCUUGUAGUUCCCUGUUUCACCUGUUUUCCCCCUCCAUGCCUUUAUUUAUGCUGUCCCCUCUACUGGAACGCCUUCCCUACUUCUUCAUUGACUGGUGUUCAUCAAAUCCAUUUCCUCUUCUUCCUGGCCACACAGCUCUCCAACCAGGGAUCCAACUCCGGCCCAUGGCAGUGAAAUUUCCAAGUCUUAACCACUGGACCUCCAGAGAAUUCCCAAAGCCUACAAUCUUGACUACCUGGCUCUUUACCGAAGACAUUUGCCUGGCUUAGACCUUUCACAAGUAGGAAGGUCCCCAUGGACACAACCCUCUGUCAUUUGACUCUGCACCCUCAGCUUUGUCUUCUGCAAUGAUGCCUGUCUAUACCUGCGUUUCCCAAACUCUUCUGCAAGACGGACUUGUUCAUGCAUCUGAACAGCAACAAUGGCACUGGAUUCUAAGUUCUGAUGUGCCUAUGGCCUCCUCCUGCCCAUUGGCUUCUCCAGGACACAGGCUGUAUUUUAAUUCAUCUCUCAGUUGUCCAUGACUGGCAUGGCAUAGCACAAAGUAGGUACCCAAUAAUGUUUUCAGUGUGAAUGAAAAAGAAGAGAUAGUAUGAAAUAUCAAAGGGGUGCAAAGUUUACUUAUGGGGUAGACCAUAUGGCUUCCUCCCACGACCAAGCCCUCUCUAGCACCUGAGAAAAAGCUUGCUUGCCCACAGGUUGCAUAACCUUUAGAGCUGUUUGUGAGUGGAUGAAUGAAGAGCACAUGGGUGCAGGCUUUCCAGGGAUCUCAGGUAGAGAACUGUCACAGCUGCCCCUUCUACAUGGACCAACCAUGCUGAGAUUUAUAGUCAGGCCGUUCUACAUGCAAGGGGGAAGUUUUAAUUGCUUGUGAAGCUCUAUGUGAUCACAGACCCAAUACAGCUAGUAGGGGGUGAUUAAUAACUUGUAGAAUUAGCCCAAAUGUGAGCUUUACAAUAGCUGUGAAUAUUGGAAACUGCAGAAUUAAGUAGCUUUUGUUCUGAAUUUCCUGCAAGCUUUUCUGUUCAGAGACAUCCCUCUAACACGCCCUGCUCCAUCCGCUCACCCAACAACCCCCUUGCCUUUGUUUUCCCCCAGAGUUAGAACACUGUCUCUCUCACCCAUCAGCAGCCACAGGAUGACCUGCAGCUCCCUGCACUUGCUGUGUGGUAGUGGCGUUUCAUGCCACUGCUGGUCAGAGCAAUGCCUUCUCUAAGGACUGCCUAAUUUCUCUGAGGCUGAAAGAGAGUUCACAAUGAGUUGCUCCACCUGAGCCAAAGAAGUUGCUGAAGAUUAAAAAGGGGUGAAAGCCACUUUUUGGAUUCUACCAGAAAAUCCACGCAGAACCAUAGAAACACUUACCUUAGUGAGGAAAGCCACACAAACCCCAGAGUAGAAAAAGAAAAGAGACAAAGCACCUAGGAAGGUCCUGGCCCUCAGCCAGAUGUAAAGGGAAUGUCACUUGUGACCUUUAUUCUCUUUGGGAUCUGUGGGUUCCAAAGAAGCAGACUGAGAUUAUUAAAAUUAGUUGUGAGGGGCUGGCACCAAGAACAGAGGUCAAAAGUCACCAAAGAGGAGAACACCCUACUAGCUGCAGGCUGACGAUGAAUUCAUUUCAAGUAAACCCAACCCCGUGGGCAAUUCACCAUGUGUCAGGGACUGAAUUCAGCUGGGGGCUCUGAAGGCCCAUUAUACUUGGGUGUUGCAGACAAUGCAAAGAUGAUAACUCUACAUAAUGCUCAUCAUCUUCCUCCCAGGCAUGCUUCCACCUGGUGGCCUUCACCUAGUUCAAGGCAUCGCUCUCCACCUCACUUCUUGGGCUAGACGUCCCUCACGAUCACAUCCCUCAUCUAGUCAGCAAAACCUGAAGACUUCACUCCCUAGAUAUUUUUAAAUCCCUCCCGCUUCAGUAGAACCUCUGAGGUCCUUUGCAUGAGCAGCUAGCCCUUAAGCGAGCUGGCCUGUGCCUGACUCUCCAGUCUCAGCUCUCUCAGACCCUCCUUCCUGCCUUGCACCCCAUGCUUGGGGCUCUGCAGUGCUGACCUGUGAUGCUUCAUGAGAACUGCAACA